GAUUAAGUUAUUAAGGGCGCACGGUGGAUGCCUUGGCACUAGAAGCCGAUGAAGGACGUUACUAACGACGAUAUGCUUUGGGGAGCUGUAAGUAAGCUUUGAUCCAGAGAUUUCCGAAUGGGGAAACCCAGCAUGAGUUAUGUCAUGUUAUCGAUAUGUGAAUACAUAGCAUAUCAGAAGGCACACCCGGAGAACUGAAACAUCUUAGUAACCGGAGGAAGAGAAAGAAAAUUCGAUUCCCUUAGUAGCGGCGAGCGAAACGGGAAGAGCCCAAACCAACAAGCUUGCUUGUUGGGGUUGUAGGACACUCUAUACGGAGUUACAAAGGACGACAUUAGACGAAUCAUCUGGAAAGAUGAAUCAAAGAAGGUAAUAAUCCUGUAGUCGAAAAUGUUGUCUCUCUUGAGUGGAUCCUGAGUACGACGGAGCACGUGAAAUUCCGUCGGAAUCUGGGAGGACCAUCUCCUAAGGCUAAAUACUCUCUAGCGACCGAUAGUGAACCAGUACCGUGAGGGAAAGGUGAAAAGCACCCCGGAAGGGGAGUGAAAUAGAACCUGAAACCGUGUGCUUACAAGUAGUCAGAGCCCGUUAAUGGGUGAUGGCGUGCCUUUUGUAGAAUGAACCGGCGAGUUACGAUUUGAUGCAAGGUUAAGCAGUAAAUGUGGAGCCGUAGCGAAAGCGAGUCUGAAUAGGGCGUUUAGUAUUUGGUCGUAGACCCGAAACCAGGUGAUCUACCCUUGGUCAGGUUGAAGUUCAGGUAACACUGAAUGGAGGACCGAACCGACUUACGUUGAAAAGUGAGCGGAUGAACUGAGGGUAGCGGAGAAAUUCCAAUCGAACCUGGAGAUAGCUGGUUCUCUCCGAAAUAGCUUUAGGGCUAGCCUCAAGUGAUGAUUAUUGGAGGUAGAGCACUGUUUGGACGAGGGGCCCCUCUCGGGUUACCGAAUUCAGACAAACUCCGAAUGCCAAUUAAUUUAACUUGGGAGUCAGAACAUGGGUGAUAAGGUCCGUGUUCGAAAGGGAAACAGCCCAGACCACCAGCUAAGGUCCCAAAAUAUAUGUUAAGUGGAAAAGGAUGUGGCGUUGCCCAGACAACUAGGAUGUUGGCUUAGAAGCAGCCAUCAUUUAAAGAGUGCGUAAUAGCUCACUAGUCGAGUGACACUGCGCCGAAAAUGUACCGGGGCUAAACAUAUUACCGAAGCUGUGGAUUGUCCUUUGGACAAUGGUAGGAGAGCGUUCUAAGGGCGUUGAAGCAUGAUCGUAAGGACAUGUGGAGCGCUUAGAAGUGAGAAUGCCGGUGUGAGUAGCGAAAGACGGGUGAGAAUCCCGUCCACCGAUUGACUAAGGUUUCCAGAGGAAGGCUCGUCCGCUCUGGGUUAGUCGGGUCCUAAGCUGAGGCCGACAGGCGUAGGCGAUGGAUAACAGGUUGAUAUUCCUGUACCACCUAUAAUCGUUUUAAUCGAUGGGGGGACGCAGUAGGAUAGGCGAAGCGUGCGAUUGGAUUGCACGUCUAAGCAGUAAGGCUGAGUAUUAGGCAAAUCCGGUACUCGUUAAGGCUGAGCUGUGAUGGGGAGAAGACAUUGUGUCUUCGAGUCGUUGAUUUCACACUGCCGAGAAAAGCCUCUAGAUAGAAAAUAGGUGCCCGUACCGCAAACCGACACAGGUAGUCAAGAUGAGAAUUCUAAGGUGAGCGAGCGAACUCUCGUUAAGGAACUCGGCAAAAUGACCCCGUAACUUCGGGAGAAGGGGUGCUCUUUAGGGUUAACGCCCAGAAGAGCCGCAGUGAAUAGGCCCAAGCGACUGUUUAUCAAAAACACAGGUCUCUGCUAAACCGUAAGGUGAUGUAUAGGGGCUGACGCCUGCCCGGUGCUGGAAGGUUAAGAGGAGUGGUUAGCUUCUGCGAAGCUACGAAUCGAAGCCCCAGUAAACGGCGGCCGUAACUAUAACGGUCCUAAGGUAGCGAAAUUCCUUGUCGGGUAAGUUCCGACCCGCACGAAAGGCGUAACGAUUUGGGCACUGUCUCAACGAGAGACUCGGUGAAAUCAUAGUACCUGUGAAGAUGCAGGUUACCCGCGACAGGACGGAAAGACCCCGUGGAGCUUUACUGUAGCCUGAUAUUGAAAUUCGGCACAGCUUGUACAGGAUAGGUAGGAGCCUUUGAAACGUGAGCGCUAGCUUACGUGGAGGCGCUGGUGGGAUACUACCCUAGCUGUGUUGGCUUUCUAACCCGCACCACUUAUCGUGGUGGGAGACAGUGUCAGGCGGGCAGUUUGACUGGGGCGGUCGCCUCCUAAAAGGUAACGGAGGCGCUCAAAGGUUCCCUCAGAAUGGUUGGAAAUCAUUCAUAGAGUGUAAAGGCAUAAGGGAGCUUGACUGCGAGACCUACAAGUCGAGCAGGGUCGAAAGACGGACUUAGUGAUCCGGUGGUUCCGCAUGGAAGGGCCAUCGCUCAACGGAUAAAAGCUACCCCGGGGAUAACAGGCUUAUCUCCCCCAAGAGUUCACAUCGACGGGGAGGUUUGGCACCUCGAUGUCGGCUCAUCGCAUCCUGGGGCUGUAGUCGGUCCCAAGGGUUGGGCUGUUCGCCCAUUAAAGCGGUACGCGAGCUGGGUUCAGAACGUCGUGAGACAGUUCGGUCCCUAUCCGUCGUGGGCGUAGGAAAUUUGAGAGGAGCUGUCCUUAGUACGAGAGGACCGGGAUGGACAUACCUCUGGUGUACCAGUUGUCGUGCCAACGGCAUAGCUGGGUAGCUAUGUGUGGACGGGAUAAGUGCUGAAA
rnacentral:rRNA from 1 species